GGAUGCGAUCAUACUAGCACUAAAGCAUCGGAUCCCAUCAAAACUCCGAAGUUAAGCGUUCUUGAGCGAGAGUAGUACUAGGAUGGGUGACCUCCUGGGAAGUCCUCGUGUUGCAUUCC
rnacentral:rRNA from 2 species